ACAAGGAUAUUCAGGGCUUGAACUCAGCUCUGGACCAAGUGGACCUAAUAGAUACCUACAGAAUUCUCCACCCCAAAUCAACAGAAUAUACAUUCUUCUCAGCACCACAUCACAGUUAUUCUAAAAUCGGCCACAUACUUGGAACUAAAACACUCCUAGGCAAAUGCAAAAGAAUGGAAAUCAUAACAAACACUCUCUCAGACCACAGUGGAAUAAAA